GAAAAUAUAUGAGAUUAUAUAUUUCUUUUUUUAAUAAAUUUGUAUUGCUAUUUCAUAGUAGUUAUUGAAAAUUAACAAUUUUAAUGUGGUAAGUAAAAUAUGUCGAAAAAAAUAAAAUUUUAAUAUUAAAAACUUCAAAUACUUUAGAUCAAUUUUAACCGUAUGGAUUGUUGAUUUGAACAUCUUAAGAUCGAAAACAAAACUAUAUAUAGUAUCAAAGUCUCGAUACUACAGAUAUUAUAGAAACCUCGAUACUAUAUAUGUCAAUAAGGCUAUGAUCCAACAAUUGGUUCAGUUGAUCGGAAAAAUACAAGUAACAAGAACAAUUAAUAAUGCUGCAUAAUAUCCAAGUGCUAAUUGUACUAUUUAGUGUGCAUAAGAAAUUGAUGGUGUGUAUAUAUGCAGUGAUUGUUUACAUUAUUUUCUUGUUGAAUGGUGCAUUAACUGGAGCUAGGCUCCGACGUUUUCAAAAGUACGGAGGCCUCAGUUGUUUUUAAUGACGGAACAUUCAAUUCAGCGAUCGGUCUCGUUAGACAUUAUAUAUCUACGUUAUAAUUAGGAACUACUUAUAAAUCAAAUUUUAUAAUUUCUUGACUUUGCUUGUCUAGUAAGCAAGUAAUCUCAAAAUGAACGGUUGAAAAUAAAAAUCUCAUAAAAAAUAGCGAUAAAAUACUCAAAUUUUGAAUUGGAAGUAUUGAUAUUUAACUCUUAAUGUUAAGUAGAAUUCUUCAUAUAAUUUGAAACUUUAAUAUGAUUUGAUUUGUUCUACAGUUGAACUCGUGCCAUAUCGGCUAUUAAAAUAGUCAUUUUUGAGCCACUUUGAUCACUUAAUAAAUGAUGUUGAAAAAUUAUGGUAUUUGGUUUCUAUAUAGUUCUAAUAUCGUAAAUUAUAUUUAACUGGAACCGAUCGUUGAAUCGAAUGUCCUGUUAUCAAAAACAACUUACAACCACUGAGGCUUUCGUACUUUCGAAAGCGUAGGAAACGUACUCCAUUAAUUGUUAAUUAGUGUAAUAGCUU
rnacentral:lncRNA from 1 species